GAUGAACGCUGGCGGCGUGCCUAAUACAUGCAAGUCGAGCGAAUGGAUUAAGAGCUUGCUCUUAUGAAGUUAGCGGCGGACGGGUGAGUAACACGUGGGUAACCUGCCCAUAAGACUGGGAUAACUCCGGGAAACCGGGGCUAAUACCGGAUAACAUUUUGAACCGCAUGGUUCGAAAUUGAAAGGCGGCUUCGGCUGUCACUUAUGGAUGGACCCGCGUCGCAUUAGCUAGUUGGUGAGGUAACGGCUCACCAAGGCAACGAUGCGUAGCCGACCUGAGAGGGUGAUCGGCCACACUGGGACUGAGACACGGCCCAGACUCCUACGGGAGGCAGCAGUAGGGAAUCUUCCGCAAUGGACGAAAGUCUGACGGAGCAACGCCGCGUGAGUGAUGAAGGCUUUCGGGUCGUAAAACUCUGUUGUUAGGGAAGAACAAGUGCUAGUUGAAUAAGCUGGCACCUUGACGGUACCUAACCAGAAGGCCACGGCUAACUACGUGCCAGCCGCCGCAGUAA
rnacentral:rRNA from 1 species